UUGACGGGGACCCGCACAAGCGGUGGAUGAUGUGGAUUAAUUCGAUGCAACGCGAAGAACCUUACCUACCCUUGACAUGUCCGGAACUUGCCAGAGAUGGCUUGGUGCCCGAAAGGGAAUCGGAACACAGGUGCUGCAUGGCUGUCGUCAGCUCGUGUCGUGAGAUGUUGGGUUAAGUCCCGCAACGAGCGCAACCCUUAUCAUUAGUUGCUACGCAAGGGCACUCUAAUGAGACUGCCGGUGACAAACCGGAGGAAGGUGGGGAUGACGUCAAGUCCUCAUGGCCCUUAUGGGUAGGGCUUCACACGUCAUACAAUGGUCGGUACAGAGGGUUGCCAACCCGCGAGGGGGAGCUAAUCCCACAAAGCCGAUCGUAGUCCGGAUCGCAGUCUGCAACUCGACUGCGUGAAGUCGGAAUCGCUAGUAAUCGUGGAUCAGCAUGUCACGGUGAAUACGUUCCCGGGUCUU
rnacentral:rRNA from 1 species